AGAACGAACGCUGGCGGCAGGCCUAAAACAUGCAAGUCGAGCGCCCAGCAAUGGGAGCGGCGGACGGGUGAGUAACACGUGGGAACGUACCUUUCGGUUCGGAACAACUCAGGGAAACUUGAGCUAAUGCCGAAUUCGCCCUAACGGGGAAAGAUUUAUCGCCGAAAGAUCGGCCCGCGUAAGAUUAGCUAGUUGGUGAGGUAACGGCCCACCAAGGCGACGAUCUUUAGCUGGUUUGAGAGAACGACCAGCCACACUGGGACUGAGACACGGCCCAGACUCCUACGGGAGGCAGCAGUUAGGAAUCUUGGACAAUGGGGGAAACCCUGAUCCAGCCAUGCCGCGUGAGUGAUGAAGGCCUUCGGGUUGUAAAACUCUUUCGACGGGACGAUAAUGACGGUACCCGUAGAAGAAGCUCCGGCUAACUUCGCGCCAGCAGCCGC
rnacentral:rRNA from 1 species